UUUUCUUUCUCCUGAACUGGAUUAUUCUGGUUAAGAAAAAGCAGAGAAUAGAGAUCUAUCUGCAGUAGACCUCACUGGAGCCUUCCGCUGCCUGUCAAGCUUGAUGCUCUUAUAACGUUUAAAGUACUGGUUAAAUUCCCACAGGGGUCUGCAGCACCUUACAAAGUACAGAAUGGCCAAAAGAAGAAAACAGUGACUUACCGUACGAUACAGAACAUUACAGGACAUGGACAUUGUUCAUAAACGAAUGUGACAAAAGGGAGCACAACUAUUUUCUCAGAGCUCAUGUGUGAGAUCCAUAGUUGCCAACUUACUGGCACAGCAGGAGUCGGUGUGGCUUGAAAAGUGGGCGGCUGCGUGGAGGACAAAGGGUUGGCUUCAGGAAACUUGCUCACUCUUCCGAGCAUCUGGGAGUGCCAAACGAUUUUUUGGGAGCUUCCCAGCCAUUCCAGGAGAGUAGGCAAAUGCUGUCAGGAUGGAACUUGGUGACAGAGAGGACACCAUCGACAGUCUAGGUCUUUUUGGCGGAGACACAGAAAAAGGACCUUAAAAAGUGUUGAAAAAAUAUUGAAAGCCACAACAAUUGAAAAGCAUUGUAAAGAAAAAAAAAACAUAUAAAAUAUAAUUACCAGCUUCCUUAUCAUCACCAUCACUCUGUGUGGGUGCUGCUCUCUGGGCAGGCUUCU